GUAGACUUCUGUGUUGAGCUCGAAGUUGAGAUUGAGGUGCUGGAGGUUUUGGGUGAACUUCCCAUGCGGACUUUCAACCUCGAUCACUUUUUCCUCCAUAAUGGUGGACGCCAUCCGGGAUGUUAGUAGUCUCCGAGGACAGAAUCUGCGCACCAUCCGCACCGCCCCGAGCUGCGUCUGCGUUUUCAAUUUUCUCAUCAGAUCUUUGCAUCCACUCUAGAUGAAAGCCAUGUCAAAUCCAUCAAGGAGAUAAAGCAGGUGAGUAUUCGUUCAAGUAAGAAAAGAAAGAGAGCAGAAAGGACCUCAGCAUAUGAUUUUGAUGAUGAGGAAAGGAAGGCGAUGAAAGUGGAAAAUUAACCAGAGGGCCAAAGUUUUUUAUCUUAAUAGACACAUAAUUAUUGUAAUCUCAUAAAUUUAGUUAUUAAGGCAAACCAUACUAUUAUUGUCAUGGUUGGAACUUGGAAAUAGUAGACCUGCUAUAUUUUUAUCAUAUAAUAAGCAAAAUUUCUAAUUAGGUGAUUUUUUUAUAAAAAUUUAUCU
rnacentral:lncRNA from 1 species